rnacentral:rRNA from 1 species
CCUACGGGAGGCAGCAGUGAGGAAUAUUGGUCAAUGGACGAGAGUCUGAACCAGCCAAGUAGCGUGAAGGAUGACUGCCCUAUGGGUUGUAAACUUCUUUUAUAUGGGAAUAAAAUGUUCCACGUGUGGGAUUUUGUAUGUACCAUAUGAAUAAGGAUCGGCUAACUCCGUGCCAGCAGCCGCGGUAAUACGGAGGAUCCGAGCGUUAUCCGGAUUUAUUGGGUUUAAAGGGAGCGUAGGUGGAUUGAUAAGUCAGAUGUGAAAGUCUGCGGCUCAACCGUAAAAUUGCAGUUGAAACUGGCAGUCUUGAGUACAGUAGAGGUGGGCGGAAUUCGUGGUGUAGCGGUGAAAUGCUUAGAUAUCACGAAGAACUCCGAUUGCGAAGGCAGUUCACUGGACUGCAACUGACACUGAGGCUCGAAAGUGUGGGUAUCAAACAGGAUUAGAUACCCCAGUAGUC